CCUACGGGAGGCAGCAGUGGGGAAUUUUGGACAAUGGGCGCAAGCCUGAUCCAGCAAUGCCGCGUGAGUGAAGAAGGCCUUCGGGUUGUAAAGCUCUUUUGUCAGGGAAGAAAAGGGAUUGGCUAAUAUCUGGUCCUCAUGGCGGUACCUGAAGAAUAAGCACCGGCUAACUACGUGCCAGCAGCCGCGGUAAUACGUAGGGUGCAAGCGUUAAUCGGAAUUACUGGGCGUAAAGCGUGCGCAGGCGGUUUUGUAAGACUGUCGUGAAAUCCCCGGGCUUAACCUGGGAAUGGCGAUGGUGACUGCAAGGCUAGAGUUUGGCAGAGGGGGGUAGAAUUCCACGUGUAGCAGUGAAAUGCGUAGAUAUGUGGAGGAACACCGAUGGCGAAGGCAGCCCCCUGGGUCAAACUGACGCUCAUGCACGAAAGCGUGGGGAGCAAACAGGAUUAGAUACCCUGGUAGUCCACGCCCUAAACGAUGUCUACUAGUUGUCGGGUCUUAAUUGACUUGGUAACGCAGCUACGCGUGAGUAGACCGCCGUGGGAGGUACGGUCGCGAGAAGUUAAACGUUAAAGUAAGUUAGACGGCGUGAGACGUGCCGACGGACGACGACGAGGGAGGUUAGG
rnacentral:rRNA from 1 species